AUUGAACGCUGGCGGCAUGCCUUACACAUGCAAGUCGAACGGCAGCACGGGAGCAAUCCUGGUGGCGAGUGGCGAACGGGUGAGUAAUGUAUCGGAACGUACCUUUCAGUGGGGGAUAACGUAGCGAAAGUUACGCUAAUACCGCAUAUUCUGUGAGCAGGAAAGCAGGGGAUCGCAAGACCUUGCGCUGAUUGAGCGGCCGAUAUCAGAUUAGCUAGUUGGUGAGGUAAAGGCUCACCAAGGCGACGAUCUGUAGCGGGUCUGAGAGGAUGAUCCGCCACACUGGAACUGAGACACGGUCCAGACUCCUACGGGAGGCAGCAGUGGGGAAUUUUGGUACAAUAGGGCGGCAAGACCUGAUCCAGCACUGCCGCGUGAGUGAAGAAGGCC
rnacentral:rRNA from 1 species